CCUACGGGUGGCAGCAGUGAGGAAUAUUGGGCAAUGGACGGGAGACUGAACCAGCCAAGCCGCGUGAGGGAUGAAGGUACAGAGUAUCGUAAACCUCUUUUGUCAGGGAACAAAGGCGGGGACGUGUCCACGGAUGAGUGUACCUGAAGAAAAAGCAUCGGCUAACUCCGUGCAAGCAGCCGCGGUAAUACGGAGGAUGCGAGCGUUAUCCGGAUUUAGUGGGUUUAAGGGGUGCGCAGGCGGUCUGUUAAGUCGGCGGUCAAAGCCCGGGGCUCAACCCCGGCCCGCCGUUGAAACUGGCAGUCUCGAGUUGGAGAGAGGUAUGCGGAAUGCGCGGUGUAGCGGUGAAAUGCAUAGAUAUCGCGCAGAACUCCGAUUGCGAAGGCAGCAUGCCGGCUCCACACUGACGCUGAGGCACGAAAGCGUGGGUAUCGAACAGGAUUAGAUACCCGUGUAGUC
rnacentral:rRNA from 1 species